rnacentral:rRNA from 1 species
CCUACGGGGGGCUGCAGUGGGGAAUAUUGCACAAUGGGCGAAAGCCUGAUGCAGCAACGCCGCGUGAAGGAAGACGGUUUUCGGAUUGUAAACUUCUGUUCUUAGUGAAGAAUUAUGACGGUAACUAAGGAGCAAGCCACGGCUAACUACGUGCCAGCAGCCGCGGUAAUACGUAGGUGGCAAGCGUUGUCCGGAUUUACUGGGUGUAAAGGGAGCGUAGACGGCGAUGCAAGUCUGAAGUGAAAGGCGGGGGCCCAACCCCUGGACUGCUUUGGAAACUGUAUGGCUGGAGUGCAGGAGAGGUAAGUGGAAUUCCUAGUGUAGCGGUGAAAUGCGUAGAUAUUAGGAGGAACACCAGUGGCGAAGGCGGCUUACUGGACUGUAACUGACGUUGAGGCUCGAAAGCGUGGGGAGCAAACAGGAUUAGAUACCCCUGUAGUC